UACGAAGGGGGCUAGCGUUGUUCGGAAUUACUGGGCGUAAAGCGCGUGUAGGCGGGCCGUUAAGUCGGGGGUGAAAGCCCAGAGCUCAACUCUGGAACCGCCUUCGAUACUGGCGGCCUGGAGCAUGAUAGAGGCGAGUGGAAUUGCGAGUGUAGAGGUGAAAUUCGUAGAUAUUCGCAGGAACACCAGUGGCGAAGGCGACUCGCUGGAUCAUUGCUGACGCUGAGACGAGAAAGCGUGGGGAGCAAACAGG
rnacentral:rRNA from 1 species